rnacentral:rRNA from 1 species
CGAGUCUUGUACUUGGUGACGACCGGCGCACGGGUGCGUAACGCGUAUGCAACCUACCCUUUACAGGGGGAUAGCCCAGAGAAAUUUGGAUUAAUACCCCAUGGUAUCUAAUGAUGGCAUCAUUAUAAGAUUAAAGAUUUAUUGGUAAAGGAUGGGCAUGCGUAAGAUUAGAUAGUUGGUGAGGUAACGGCUCACCAAGUCGACGAUCUUUAGGGGUUCUGAGAGGAUGAUCCCCCACACUGGUACUGAGAUACGGACCAGACUUCUACGGGAGGCAGCAGUAGGGAAUAUUGGUCAAUGGACGAGAGUCUGAACCAGCCAUGCCGCGUGCAGGAAGACGGCCUUCUGGGUUGUAAACUGCUUUUAUAUGGGAAGAAAAGGGUCUUGCGAGACUGAUUGCCGGUACCAUAAGAAUAAGCACCGGCUAACUCCGUGCCAGCAGCCGCGGUAAUACGGAGGGUGCAAGCGUUGUCCGGAUUUAUUGGGUUUAAAGGGUACGUAGGCGGCUAAUUAAGUCAGUGGUGAAAUCCUGCAGCUUAACUGUGGAACUGCCAUUGAUACUGGUUAGCUUGAGUUCUGUUAAGGUAGGCGGAAUUGAUGGUGUAGCGGUGAAAUGCAUAGAUACCAUCAGGAACACCGAUUGCGAAGGCAGCUUACUGGUCAGAUACUGACGCUAAUGUACGAAAGCGUGGGGAGCGAACAGGAUUAGAUACCCUGGUAGUCCACGCUGUAAACGAUGAUCACUCGCUGUUGGCCGGUAUAGGUCAGUGGCCAAGCGAAAGCGUUAAGUGAUCCACCUGGGGAGUACGCUCGCAAGAGUGAAACUCAAAGGAAUUGACG